GCGGCUGUCGUCUAGUGGUUAGGACACCACGUUGUGGUUAUUCCUUGGGACUGCAGGUCCGUGGCAACCUCGGUUCGAUUCCGAGCAGCCGCA
rfam:Hypsibius dujardini strain Z151 scaffold0356, whole genome shotgun sequence.